AACGAACGCUGGCGGCAUGCCUAACACAUGCAAGUCGAACGAGACCUUCGGGUCUAGUGGCGCACGGGUGCGUAACGCGUGGGAACCUGCCCUUAGGUUCGGAAUAACUCCCCGAAAGGGGUGCUAAUACCGGAUAAUGUCUUCGGACCAAAGAUUUAUCGCCUUUGGAUGGGCCCGCGUUGGAUUAGCUAGUUGGUAGGGUAAAAGCCUACCAAGGCGACGAUCCAUAGCUGGUCUGAGAGGAUGAUCAGCCGCACUGGGACUGAGACACGGCCCAGACUCCUACGGGGGGCAGCGGUGGGGAAUAUUGGACAAGGGGCGAAAGCCUGAUCCAGCAAUGCCGCGUGAGUGAUGAAGGCCUUAGGGUUGUAAAGCUCUUUGACCCGGGAUGAUAAUGACAGUACCGGGAGAAUAAGCUCCGGCUAACUCCGUG
rnacentral:rRNA from 1 species